UUCAAAGGAAAGAAAGAUGAUUACAUGCGUAGCCCGGUUCUCAUUGGUGUUUCCUAUAAUUCGUGCAGAAUUCUCGUUAAACUAUCACUCAUCAUGAAUACACUCUUGAGGAACCUCACAAACUUCUGUUAGACGAGUGCCUGUUGAAUGGAGGUGAGAUAAGGCGCUGAAACGUUUGAUAAUGUCAGCUGUCUAUUUGUCCCUCGUGUCUGUCUUUCUGUUUGUCUCACUCUCCCUCGGGAGAAAAAAAAAAAAGGAAAACGUUACAUCCGUUUUCUGUUUUAGGUCGCGGCGCUCCAGGGGAUAAAUUCAUUAGCUCCCAACUGGUGGUGGGCGUGAAGGCGCAACAUAGGCGGUCCUGAUUUGGAGGCAUGAUUACCUUUUUGGCAUCGUCUUUAUUCUCCCCAUUUGAAGAGUUCACCUGCACCAGCACAAACGUCAAAACCGAAAUCCUUCGUUAAGAGGCGCCAUCCUAGCCCUGAUAGAUUUGAAGAACUGAACGUAAAAAAACGAAAAACAUAAAGAAAAAGAAAAACUACGGGCCCCAGUGACCUCCCGCCUGCCUGAGUUAGCUGGGUUACCUGGCCGCCACCACCUGUCUCCUCCUCCGGGACGCCAAGCCAGCGCUCCAGAUCCUGGCUGCCCCACUCUCAUAAUUGGAGACAGGGCGGGAGUGUGGCCAACGCUAAGAAAAAGUUCAACUGCUCAAAACAUGGGGGGAAAAAAAAGGCGACAAUCAAGACCUAGUGUACUUAAAUUGUGUGUGCGUGUGAAUUGUGAAUCUAAACGCAUUGAAACGUGCAUAUUGAGUGGUGCCUCAGGAAGACUAGAAAUCGGAGUGUUGUCUUAGAAAUUAUGUAAGACUCGGCAUUGGAAGUAAAAAGGCGAGGAAUGAACGCAAUGGAGGCGGUUCAGAGGACGCUGCAGGACACACAAGGCGACUCAGCGGACGAGGUGAGUGUUCCAUGCACCGCUUGUUGUGACUGCUUUUCCUCAUUGAUCCCGCGACUGUUAACUUAUUUGUGCACUGUGACAUCUGGCUCUGUGUUUCAAGCGUUUUCCCGUCUUAUCUUCGUUGUCUUG